rnacentral:tRNA from 1 species
GGGGCUAUAGCUCAGUUAAUAGAGUGCUUUCCUCACAUGCACAAGACCCUGGGUUCAAUCCCCAGUACCCCCC